rnacentral:rRNA from 1 species
GUGCCAGCAGCCGCGGUAAUACGUAGGUGGCAAGCGUUGUCCGGAUUUAUUGGGCGUAAAGAGCGCGUAGGCGGUUUGUAAAGUCCGAGGUGAAAUCUCCCGGCUCAACUGGGAGGAGCCCUUGGAUACUGGCAGACUAGAGGGAAGCAGAGGAGAGUGGAAUUCCCGGUGUAGUGGUGGAAUGCGUAGAUAUCGGGAGGAACACCAGUGGCGAAGGCGGCUCUCUGGGCUUCCCCUGACGCUGAGGCGCGAAAGCGUGGGGAGCAAACCGGAUUAGAUACCCGGGUAGUCCACGCCGUAAACGUUGGACACUAGGUGUAGGGGGUAUCGACCCCCUCUGUGCCGAAGCUAACGCGUUAAGUGUCCCGCCUGGGGAGUACGGCCGCAAGGCUAAAACUCAAAUGAAUUGACGGGG